CCGCCAUGAUUGUGAGGCUUCCCCAGCCAUGUGGAAACAUAUUCGCAGAGCACCCACUAGGUGCCAGUAAAUGUAUGAGAAGUCCUGUGGAAUAAGACUGAAGUUGUCCUUGCCUUCAAGCAACUUGCAAUUGCCUAAGAACACAGUUUAAAACCACAAAACUAAGCCUUGGAAAUCACAUGCUGUCAUUUCUGCGAUCGGUCAUAACCAGUCCUGAUUCCAUGUUAGAGGAGACUACAUAAGGACACAGGUACCAGAAGAUGAAAAAUUUGGAGUCUAGUGAAAAGAAGUGACUUGCUCAAAAUCACACAGCACAUGAAGAACAGAGCCUCUAUGAUGAAUUUCUUGACAGCUGAUAUAAGUCUUUUGAGGUACAGCCUGGCACAAAAAGGAUGAGAUUUGUGGGCAGAAUUUUGGAAGAAUAUCUCCCGAGAGAACAUUCAGGACAGAUUGCACUGCUUUGGAGAGCUGGUGAUGAAAUCCGGCCAUUGAAUUACACUGCACUAUAAACUUCAUUUGUUCUUGGGUGCAUAGUGAUUUGCUAUAAUAAUGAUCAUCCAUUUGCCAGACAGCUGAGAUUUUUUAAAAGCUUGAUUGCUUUUGGCAUGGCAUUAUUAGUCCUGGAAGAAGGCAGCACAUUUGUAGCAAUUCUCAGCUUGAGCAAACUAGAAUAUUCACCUCCCACAAAUGCUGGCCAUUUAAGAUCUGUGUGUUAGACUUUGGCAUUUUUUCUAGCAAUUCUACAACAGCAUACACACUUUUAUUUUUCAUUAACACCAUUGUGAAUAUGCCCAUCUCUAAAAUUUCAAGGGGGUUCACUUAAGCUACUGAGUUUUAUGGACAGAAGGGCCAAGAAAAGUCCCCAAAGAAGAGUGCAUGCUGUCAAUUGCCAAUUAUUUUUUUUUCUAAUGAAAGCCAAACAAUUCCAGACAAACCCUUUUCUAAGAAAUGAACUACAUAUCUGGAUCCAAAUAAAUACUCAUCUGAUAAGAAUCUAAAAGCUCUACUGAAUUACAGUGGAUGAGAACAUGAUGAUGGUGAUUCUUUGAAGAUUACUGAGGAAAUCAACUCUCAUGUCUGAUUCUGAUACUUUUAUAGUCCAUCCAUGUUGAAAAUGUCUAUGGAAUGAUUCUGUUGUACCUUGAGAAAUGAAAUUCAUAGGCAUGGAUUCUCUCACACAGCAACUUUAUACACAAAGAUGAGAAUAGAAGAAAGGUCAUUUCCAAAGAAAGUGACAUUUAUUCUGUAUUCACUGAAAAGCCAAAAGAAUUUUCUCAUUCACCCAUACCGACAGAGCCCUACAUCUCCCCGAGAAGAGGUGAAAGAGACUGCUCCUAUCUGCUUCUGCAUCAAACUUCAGGCUCAAGACCUGUCCAGAAAAAAAAAUGUCUUCUUUCAGGGAUGAACUGCUGUCCUCAUCAGACGCCUUAUUUUGUUUAGAAUUCAAGCUCACUUGACAGGUUAUUGUGAAGAUUAAAUGAAUUAAUACAUGUGAAGCAACUGUAACAACUCUUGACAUGCGGAUCCCAUUGAGGAUGCCACAUUAUGUUUCAUUGCCAUGUCUCCAUAGACUCUUCUUGGUUGUGAUGGUUUCUCACGCUUUUCUUGGUUUUGAAGACGUUGACAAUUUUCUUCCAUUGGGAUUUGCUUGAUGCUUUUCUCAUGAUUACACUGGAACUGUGACUUUUUAGAAGGAAGAUCAUAGAGGAGAAGAAACUGAGGUUCAAGGACUAGUAACCAGCAGCAGAUCACACAGCUGGAAGACAACUAAGAGCAAAAAAACAGGCACAAUUAAAGUGCUAAGAAAUCACUGCAGACAGAGAACCUGACACUGACAAGGAG
rnacentral:lncRNA from 1 species